rnacentral:rRNA from 1 species
AUUGAACGCUGGCGGCAGGCCCAACACAUGCAAGUCGAGCGGUAGAGAGGUGCUUGCAUCUCUUGAGAGCGGCGGACGGGUGAGUAAUGCCUAGGAAUCUGCCUGGUGGUGGGGGAUAACGUUCGGAAACGGACGCUAAUACCGCAUACGUCCUACGGGAGAAAGCGGGGGAUCUUCGGACCUCGCGCCAUUAGAUGAGCCUAGGUCGGAUUAGCUAGUUGGUGAGGUAAUGGCUCACCAAGGCGACGAUCCGUAACUGGUCUGAGAGGAUGAUCAGUCACACUGGAACUGAGACACGGUCCAGACUCCUACGGGAGGCAGCAGUGGGGAAUAUUGGACAAUGGGCGAAAGCCUGAUCCAGCCAUGCCGCGUGUGUGAAGAAGGUCUUCGGAUUGU